rnacentral:rRNA from 1 species
AAUCCGUAGAGUUUGAUCCUGGCUCAGGACGAACGCUGGCGGUGCGCCUAAUGCAUGCAAGUCGAACGGGCGAAGGGGCUUCGGCCCCCUAGCUAGUGGCAGACGGCUGAGUAACACGUAAGUGAUAUGCCCCGGAGAGGGGGAUAAGCCGGAGAAAUCCGGUCUAAUACCCCGUACGCUCCCUUUACUACGGUAUAGGGAGGAAAGGUUCCGGCGCUCUGGGAGUAGCUUGCGGCCUAUCAGGUAGUUGGUGGGGUAAAAGCCUACCAAGCCGAAGACGGGUAACCGGUGUGAGAGCACGAUCGGUCAGAGGGGGACUGAGACACGGCCCCCACUCCUACGGGAGGCAGCAGCAGGGAAUCUUGCGCAAUGGGCGAAAGCCUGACGCAGCGACACCGCGUGGGGG